rnacentral:rRNA from 1 species
GGGUUGUGAGGUUAAGCGACUAAGCGUACACGGUGGAUGCCCUGGCAGUCAGAGGCGAUGAAGGGCGUGCUAAUCUGCGAUAAGCGCCGGUAAGGUGAUAUGAACCGUUAUAACCGGCGAUACCCGAAUGGGGAAACCCAGUGUGACUCGUCACACUAUCAUUAACUGAAUCCAUAGGUUAAUGAGGCGAACCGGGGGAACUGAAACAUCUAAGUACCCCGAGGAAAAUAAAUCAACCGAGAUUCCCCCAGUAGCGGCGAGCGAACGGGGAGGAGCCCAGAGCCUGAAUCAGCAUGUGUGUUAGUGGAAGCGUCUGGAAAGGCGCGCGAUACAGGGUGACAGCCCCGUACACAAAAGCGCAUGUGCUGUGAGCUCGAUGAGUAGGGCGGGACACGUGGUAUCCUGUCUGAAUAUGGGGGGACCAUCCUCCAAGGCUAAAUACUCCUGACUGACCGAUAGUGAACCAGUACCGUGAGGGAAAGGCGAAAAGAACCCCGGCGAGGGGAGUGAAAAAGAACCUGAAACCGUGUACGUACAAGCAGUGGGAGCCCCACCACCAAAGCAUUCUCUGGUGUUGAAGGCCCUGCAAAGCAGCAUCGCGGUGGCGGAGCGUCGUUUGCGACGCCCAACACACAAAACAAGCGGUGAGUGCUUUGGGGUGGGGUGACUGCGUACCUUUUGUAUAAUGGGUCAGCGACUUAUAUUCUGUAGCAAGGUUAACCGAAUAGGGGAGCCGGAGGGAAACCGAGUCUUAAUUGGGCGUUAAGUUGCAGGGUAUAGACCCGAAACCCGGUGAUCUAGCCAUGGGCAGGUUGAAGGUUGGGUAACACUAACUGGAGGACCGAACCGACUAAUGUUGAAAAAUUAGCGGAUGACCUGUGGCUGGGGGUGAAAGGCCAAUCAAACCGGGAGAUAGCUGGUUCUCCCCGAAAGCUAUUUAGGUAGCGCCUCGUGAAUUCAUCUCCGGGGGUAGAGCACUGUUUCGGCUAGGGGGUCAUCCCGACUUACCAACCCGAUGCAAACU